rnacentral:rRNA from 1 species
AGCGAACGCUGGCGGCAGGCUUAACACAUGCAAGUCGAACGGGCGUAGCAAUACGUCAGUGGCAGACGGGUGAGUAACGCGUGGGAACGUACCUUUUGGUUCGGAACAACACAGGGAAACUUGUGCUAAUACCGGAUAAGCCCUUACGGGGAAAGAUUUAUCGCCAAAAGAUCGGCCCGCGUCUGAUUAGCUAGUUGGUGAGGUAACGGCUCACCAAGGCGACGAUCAGUAGCUGGUCUGAGAGGAUGAUCAGCCACAUUGGGACUGAGACACGGCCCAAACUCCUGCGGGAGGCAGCAGUGGGGAAUAUUGGACAAUGGGCGCAAGCCUGAUCCAGCCAUGCCGCGUGAGUGAUGAAGGCCCUAGGGUUGUAAAGCUCUUUUGUGCGGGAAGAUAAUGACGGUACCGCAAGAAUAAGCCCCGGCUAACUUCGUGCCAGCCGCCGCCGUAAG